UUCCAGAAGUUUUGAGACCAUUUUAGAAGUAGUUAUAACUGUCCUUGAUUAUUGUAAUUUUAGCUUAUAAUUGCUGUACAUCUAAUUAGCUGACCUGCUAACGUUCUUUUUAUUCUAGAUUGAAGGAGAGUACUGUAACAGCAAUUUGAACUUUGCCUACUAAACAUUUCUUGUUAAAAUUCCAUCCUGGUAACCAACAAAUUGACAGAGAUGGGAGUCAAAACUGUCCCUCUCCCUCUCAACAGUCCAGACUUCGCUCGCUGUAACUUUUAUUUGUUCCCCAGGCCGAAGAAGACAUUGAGAAGAUGGAAUUUCAGGACAAAUGUCUUGAAAAUUUCACUUUGGAGGACUUCCAUGGGGGCCUUACACGGGGGUUGGAGCGCUACAACAAGUGCAUUGAAGUCAGAGCAUCUUACUUUGAAGGAGAUUUGAGUUUUGUACUGCAUUCAAAUUAAUAAAUGUCUCUCCUGUAAAAUCUCAAACCUUUGGGAAUGUACCUUGUACACAUACAAACACAUACACGCACAUAUAAUAAUAAACCACAGCUGACUGUGACUUUUAUUUUAUUAAGAGUUUACCACUCGUCUUUUAGAAAGGUGACAAGAUAUAAUACGUCCAAAACAAUGAUCAAACAAAUUAUUUCACUCUUUUCAAACCACAUCUAAUAAUUCAGUAAUAAGUCUACCAUAAUUCAAAUGGCGGCGUUGGGAUGAAGCGACUUAUAUUACAAAUCCCUUCAGUAUAGCCAACUUAGUUAUACAAAACUCGGUUCCAUAAUUAAUUGCUUGAAAAUCUUUGAAAACAUGGAAAACCUCUCGAGUGUCGACAUCAAAAGAUGUACUUUGUGUACUUUGUAGUAUAAUAUAUACAAAAAAUAAUCUCGCUUUAAUGUUUAUCGGAUGACGGAGGAAGCGUGAACACCAGACGAGAGUAUUUUAAAUUAUUUCAAGGAAGUAAUCAAUGGUUUUGAAAAAAAAAAACAACCAAAAAGAAAACAAAAAGCAAACCAAAAAGCACUAGAAUUUCAUUUCUGAUAAUGACCACCAUAGAUAACUAUAUACACGCACACACACUCACACACACACACACACACACACACACACACACACACAUGCAUGCGCGUGCGCACACAAUAUAUAUCUACAUACAAACAUUCAUAUAUACAGACAUAUAUACAUUCAAAUGCAUGUAUGUGUGUGGUAUGUGUGCGUAUGUGCGUGCCUGUGUGUAUGUAUAUAUGGAAACAUAUGUGCGUAUAUGCCUAUAUAUAUAUAUAUAUAUAUAUAUAUAUAUAUAUAUAUAUAUAUCUGUGUAUGUGUAUGUGUGUGUGUGUAUGUAUGCAUGUAUGAUACGAAUCUAUGUGUGUGUGUGGAUACACGAACGUUUUCACAAACAAACAUAACAGUUGGAACUCCACCAUAUUAUUGCGCGAUUCCAGAAACAGCCUAUGUAACAACAACAGCGCCACCAGGUUUUCAACGAUAACGACGGACCUCCCACGAACUCUAAGAUAACAACAUUUGUCAGGUAUUUAGGAGACAUGAAAUAUAACAAGUGGGUAGCUCUUAUUGUUAUUACUUUCUGGGAAAUAGUCCUUAGAAACUGUUAAACAUUGGCAACGCAUUAAAGAAUAAGAAGGUUUCAUGUUUUAACUUCGGAAACCUUCUUAUGUGUGCGGUGUAUAUGGUAUAUGAUCGUCUGCAUGUAUGUAUGUAUUUAUUAUGUUUACAUACCACACGUUUUUGUCUUCGCUAUGUAUUUCAAUAUUUCUUUCUUUCUUUUAUUUAUUUACUUAUUAUCAUUUUUUUUUUUUUUUUUGCAGAAUCGUUAGCACGCUGGGCGAAAUGCUUAGUGGUAUUUCGCCCGUCGCUACGUUCCAAGUUCAAAUUCCGUCGAGGUCGAUUUUGUCUUUCAUCUUUUCGGGAGUCGAUUAAAUAAAUACCAGCUGAACACUGAGGUCGAUGUAAUCAACUCAUCCUCUCCCCCAAAAUUGCUACCCUUGUGGCAAAAUUUGAAACCAUUAUUAUUAUUAUUAUUAUUAUUGAGUGAGAGAGCAGUGCAUGCCAUCAAAGUGACACUGGGGUAAAAUAUAGGAAGCCCAUUAUACCCAUCAUGACUACCCGUCUGAUAAGGGUACACCAGGCACAUGCAUCACAACCAUAUGUACGCGACAUGGUGAUCUCAUAUCAAAAUAAACAGCGCAUAACCACGCAGGUGGGGCCCAGUUAGAAUUUUCUUCAGGUUGAGUAGCCCAUUCCGCUCAAAAGGUCCCUGAACAAGGUUUGUUUAAGGAUGUUGAGCAAAACACACAUGUUUCCAAAGGUGAAUUAUUCAAACUCAUUCAAGUUCAGGAGUCGAUGCUAGGUUGGCAGAAUCGCUAGAGUGCUUUCCAGCAUUUAGUUCCGUCUCUUCCUGUUUUCACUUUGAACCCCUUACCCGAGUUAAUUUUGUCUUUCAUCCUUCCGGUGGUGAUAAAGCAACAGUCAAGUACUUCGAUCGAUAUAAUAAACUACAUACCCAGCCAAUUCCUAAAAUGUGCAGACGGUUGGCUAUAUUAGCUAUCAUUAUUAUCACUUUUAUUAUUUUGCUUCCGCCCUACUAUCCUCUCUUUCGAGUCAAAUUCCAGAAAAAAAAAAAAAGAAAAAAAAGAACAGGCUGUUAAGGUUAAAGAAUAUAAUCUGUUUUCCGAUAUGUGUAAACUGUCAGUUAAAGGAAUUUAGGAAAUUUUCACUAAGUGUAGGAGUGGCUUAUUUCAGCUAUUUAACAACAACAACAACAAAAACAACAACAACAACAACAACAACAACUACUACUACUACUACUACUACUACUACUACUACUACUACUACUACUACUACUACUACUAUGACAGCAAAACAACCAAUGACGACAACAACAAUUACAAUAAACUAUAUCGUUUGAACUAAGAUGAUUCAAAGAUAGAUAUGAACUGAAGAAGAAAAGCAGAAGCACUGAAAUUUAUUCAGAUUUAUUUUAUUUUUUAUUAUAUUUUUGAUAUUUUUUUUUUCGGAAAUGAGCCUGAAAAUUAAUCCGAAUGUGCAAAAAAAAAAAAAAAAGAAAGAAAGAAAGCGGGGUGUCAGAAGGGCAAAAUAUAUACGAAUUUGUAAAACUAAAAUAAAAAUAAAAAUAGAAUAAAAAAUAGAAACUUUACUAAAAAAGAAAAAAAAACAUAAACAUGUGAAACACCCCCUCAAAAUAUAUAUAAAAAAAGAAAGGACUAGAAUCGCUGGAAGCUGACUGAGAAAAAUAAAAACCCGAUGUUAAAAUUAGAGUGCCAUACAUGAGAAUAAGGCAAAUAUACAUUUACAACAGUGACUCGACUCUUGCUUAGAUCAAAUGGCUUAACUUACAUCUCGUUAUAAUGAGCAGGAACUAUUUUGAAUAUCAUUAUUUUCACAAUUAUGUGAAAGGUUGCCACAACGCACUUACGCAUUAGUCCCGGAUAUACAAGGUUCACUAUCAGAAAAUGUAUAUUUUUUCAUUGGCUAUUUUUUUUUUGUUUAUAUGUAUUACAUAAAAAAGAAAAUUCCCCCAUAAAUUAUAUAUAAAAACAAGAAAAUAAAAGAAGAUUGACGUUCCUGUUCCUUCUUUGUGAUUAUAGUUUUUUUUUCCCAGAAAUGUGGAACUGAAAAUGGUUUGGCUAAAACGGUUAGGUACAAACUCUACUGUCCUACUAUGUGUCUAUCUUUUUUUUCUUUGCAGUGAUUAUGAAAGAAUUUGGUAAAUCAUGCUGCAUAUAGAGACAUAUCUUUGAUAAUAUAUAGCUACAGACCAAUAUAUAUUCAAACGGGCCCUUAAAAUACUAUUGCGGAUCCCCAACUUACAAUUUUGUUGCGUGGACCGCUCCCCACACCAAAUCUUAUAUGGACGCUGGUUGACACCCCCCUGAUCAAGACCAUCGAAUUACUGAUACAAGCCAUUCCAAGAACUUCGACACAAUUUCCAUCUAACAGCUUUACUCUCACAAGGUAUGGAAAAUGAUGCUUGCCAAGAUGUCGCAUGCUAUAGUGAUGCUUAUAUUGCACUUCGAAUCACUGUAAUGUGCGCCAUACGCCAAAACUGCAUAUUUAUUUAUGCUUGUACAGUUUAACUUUGUUAAGACAAUGAAAUAAUAGUUAAAUUAUUAAAAAAUAAUGGAAAAAGAAGCCAGAUAUGAUGGCAUGUUGUAUAAGUGCAUUCAAAUGAAUAGGCAAUGACCGGAUUUCCACAGUUCAUUCAUUAAACAAUUACAAACUCUUGGCAAUGCUUACACAAGACGUUCUAGUUUUGCAGAAGGUAGUAGCACAAUGCCAUAUCUAUUUGAAAUAAUAAAUAAAUGAUUCAAAAAUCAAAAUAAAAAUAGACCCCCCCAAAAACCAAACGAAA